GACGAACGUUCGCGGCGUGCUUAACACAUGAAAGUCGAACGGAAAGGCCCUGCUUUUGUGGGGUGCUCGAGUGGCGAACGGGUGAGUAACACGUGAGUAACCUGCCCUUGACUUUGGGAUAACUUCAGGAAACUGGGGCUAAUACCGGAUAGGAGCUCCUGCUGCAUGGUGGGGGUUGGAAAGUUUCGGCGGGUGGGGAUGGACUCGCGGCUUAUCAGCUGGCUGGUGGGGCAGUGGCUUACCAAGGCUUUGACGGGUAGCCGGCCUGAGAGGGUGACCGGCCACAUUGGAACUGAGAAACGGCCCAGACUCCUACGGGAGACAGCAGUGGGGAAUAUUGCACAAUGGGCGGAAGCCUGAUGCAGCAACGCCGCGUGCGGGAUGACGGCCUUCGGGUUGUAAACCGCUUUCGCCUGUGACGAAGCGUGAGUGACGGUAAUGGGUAAAGAAGCACCGGCUAACUACGUG
rnacentral:rRNA from 1 species